GUAGGGUGGUGCCAUUUCCCAACUCUGGAGAAGUGACUUCUGCAGAAGUCCUGUGUGUCCCGGUAGUGUCCCCUCUCUGUCCCCUCUGUGUGUCCCCUCUUUUCACUGGAGCUUUAUGCUCUAUGGGGUUCCCCAUGAUGUCCACGUGGGUCCUGAUAUGCGGUUGAUCUGGUAGUCUAGGACAGCCCCUGUUCAGGUCGGUUGCCAGGCUCUGCCCUGUGAGGAGGCUGCCACCUGCUGGUUGGUGGGGCUGGGUCAGGCAACCACUGAGUCUAGAACCACCAGUCUCCCAUCCCGCUUGGGCUAGUUCUGGCAUAUUGGUGGGCAGAAUCAGGGUCCAGAAGACUCUGGGGGAUGUUACAGCCCACUAGUGGCUGAAGCCAGAUCCUGGGAUUAGUUUUACCAGGUCCUGGAGUCCUGGGGACUGGUUGCAGGGCUCAGGGAUUCUAGCGUUGGUGUCAGGUUGCUCGCUGGGGACAAGGAGAGGAGGGGAGAGCAGUUCCUAUCACAGUGGAGUACAGGUUCCAGGGAGUCCUGAGGCUUGUGUCGGCCUGCUAGUGGGCAGGACCAGGGUGCAGCUGGUUUUAGGACACCAUCUGGCCUGCUGGAGUCAGCACUGUGGCUUUCUUGAAUGUAGGGUCUGCGCCCUGGUCCAGAGACAAGGGCAGACUGCUUGGAGGGUAGGGUCGGAACAGGGGAUCUGGGACGUUGUCUGCCCUCUGGUGGCAGAGGCUGUGUCGAGAGGAGGCUGUGUGCAGAGGAGGUCUUAAGGCAGCCUGUCUGUUGAUAAGUGGAGUUACGUCCCCACCCAGUUAGUUGCUUGGCGUGAGAUGUCCCCCAGCACUGGCAUCUACAGGUUGUUGGGUGUGGCCAGGUCUUUGCGCUCAGGAAUCCUUAGCACCUGCAUCAGGUGGAAGGAAAUUCCAAGAAUGUCUGCCGCCAGAGUCCAGCUCCCGAGGAUGAGCCCCGGCUGCCCCCUGUUCCUCCAGGAAACUCUUUAAGCCCAGCAGGAACGGUGUAUUCCAGGAGCCAAAAAACUUCCCCAAAUGGCCAAAACCAGAAACAUGUUUCUUAUGUUUUCCAACCUUGGAGAAAUGACCUUCUAUAGGCGGCAUCUUAUCAACCCAGCAGCAUACUCAUCCUCUCAUCACCUACGUUUCCUUUGUUGUGCUGAAGCUUGUGACUUUGGUGUGCCCAUGAGAGAAGGU
ensembl:lncRNA